UACAGAGGGGGCAAGCGUUGUUCGGAAUUACUGGGCGUAAAGGGCGCGUAGGCGGCCUGCUAAGUCGAACGUGAAAUCCCUGGGCUCAACCCAGGAACUGCGUCCGAUACUGGUUGGCUUGAAUCCGGGAGAGGUGAGUGGAAUUCCCAGUGUAGCGGUGAAAUGCGUAGAUAUUGGGAGGAACACCAGUGGCGAAGGCGGCUCACUGGACCGGAACUGACGCUGAGGCGCGAAAGCGUGGGGAGCAAACAGG
rnacentral:rRNA from 1 species